GGGGGUUUAGUCUAGGGGUAUAAUAUUUGCUUCGCAUGCGAAAGGUUCUGGGUUCAAUUCCCAGAACGUCUA
rnacentral:tRNA from 1 species